CUCUCUUUAGUCUUAAAAGAUUUUCGAGUUUCAUUCGAAAGAACCAAAAUGGAAGAGAGG
rnacentral:tRNA from 1 species